CCUACGGGAGGCAGCAGUGAGGAAUAUUGGUCAAUGGACGCAAGUCUGAACCAGCCAUGCCGCGUGCAGGAAGAAGGCUCCAUGAGUUGUAAACUGCUUUUGUACGAGGGCAAACGCAGAUACGCGUCUCCGUCUGAGAGUAUCUGACGAAAAAGCAUCGGCUAACUCCGUGCCAGCAGCCGCGGUAAUACGGAGGAUUCAAGCGUUAUCCGGAUUUAUUGGGUUUAAAGGGUGCGUAGGCGGUCGGUUAAGUAGAGGUGAAAUCCCGAGGGUCAAACUCCGAACUGCCGCUGAUACUGUUCGGCUAGAGAGUAGGUGCGGUAGGCGGAAUGUGUGGUGUAGCGGUGAAAUGCUUAGAGAUCAUACAGAACACCGAUUGCGAAGGCAGCUUACCAAGCUACUUCUGACGUUGAGGCACGAAAGCGUGGGGAGCAAACAGGAUUAGAUACCCUGGUAGUC
rnacentral:rRNA from 1 species